UUGGAUCUACGUUUUGUUCUAUA
rnacentral:siRNA from 1 species